UACGUAGGGUGCGAGCGUUGUCCGGAAUUACUGGGCGUAAAGGGCUCGUAGGUGGUUUGUCGCGUCGUUCGUGAAAACUCACAGCUUAACUGUGGGCGUGCGGGCGAUACGGGCAGACUGGAGUACUGCAGGGGAGACUGGAAUUCCUGGUGUAGCGGUGGAAUGCGCAGAUAUCAGGAGGAACACCGGUGGCGAAGGCGGGUCUCUGGGCCGAAAUUGACGCUGAGGAGCGAAAGCGUGGGGAGCAAACAGG
rnacentral:rRNA from 1 species